rnacentral:rRNA from 1 species
CUUGUACACACCGCCCGUCACACCAUGGGAGCUGGUUCUACCUUAAGCCGCCGCGCUAACCGCAAGGAAGCAAGCGUCCACGGUAGGGUUAGUGACUGGGGUG